rnacentral:rRNA from 1 species
GGUUAAGCGACUAAGCGUACACGGUGGAUGCCCUGGCAUUCAGAGGCGAUGAAGGACGUGCUAAUCUGCGAUAAGCGUCGGUAAGGUGAUAUGAACCGUUAUAACCGGCGAUUUCCGAAUGGGGAAACCCAGUGUGAUUCGUCACACUAUCAUUAACUGAAUCCAUAGGUUAAUGAGGCGAACCGGGGGAACUGAAACAUCUAAGUACCCCGAGGAAAAGAAAUCAACCGAGAUUCCCCCAGUAGCGGCGAGCGAACGGGGAGCAGCCCAGAGCCUGAAUCAGUGUGUGUGUUAGUGGAAGCGUCUGGAAAGGCGUGCGAUACAGGGUGACAGCCCCGUACACAAAAAUGCACAUAUUGUGAGCUCGAUGAGUAGGGCGGGACACGUGGUAUCCUGUCUGAAUAUGGGGGGACCAUCCUCCAAGGCUAAAUACUCCUGACUGACCGAUAGUGAACCAGUACCGUGAGGGAAAGGCGAAAAGAACCCCGGCGAGGGGAGUGAAAAAGAACCUGAAACCGUGUACGUACAAGCAGUGGGAGCACGCUUAGGCGUGUGACUGCGUACCUUUUGUAUAAUGGGUCAGCGACUUAUAUUCUGUAGCAAGGUUAACCGAAUAGGGGAGCCGAAGGGAAACCGAGUCUUAACUGGGCGUUAAGUUGCAGGGUAUAGACCCGAAACCCGGUGAUCUAGCCAUGGGCAGGUUGAAGGUUGGGUAACACUAACUGGAGGACCGAACCGACUAAUGUUGAAAAAUUAGCGGAUGACUUGUGGCUGGGGGUGAAAGGCCAAUCAAACCGGGAGAUAGCUGGUUCUCCCCGAAAGCUAUUUAGGUAGCGCCUCGUGAAUUCAUCUCCGGGGGUAGAGCACUGUUUCGGCAAGGGGGUCAUCCCGACUUACCAACCCGAUGCAAACUGCGAAUACCGGAGAAUGUUAUCACGGGAGACACACGGCGGGUGCUAACGUCCGUCGUGAAGAGGGAAACAACCCAGACCGCCAGCUAAGGUCCCAAAGUCAUGGUUAAGUGGGAAACGAUGUGGGAAGGCCCAGACAGCCAGGAUGUUGGCUUAGAAGCAGCCAUCAUUUAAAGAAAGCGUAAUAGCUCACUGGUCGAGUCGGCCUGCGCGGAAGAUGUAACGGGGCUAAACCAUGCACCGAAGCUGCGGCAGCGACGCUUAUGCGUUGUUGGGUAGGGGAGCGUUCUGUAAGCCUGCGAAGGUGUGCUGUGAGGCAUGCUGGAGGUAUCAGAAGUGCGAAUGCUGACAUAAGUAACGAUAAAGCGGGUGAAAAGCCCGCUCGCCGGAAGACCAAGGGUUCCUGUCCAACGUUAAUCGGGGCAGGGUGAGUCGACCCCUAAGGCGAGGCCGAAAGGCGUAGUCGAUGGGAAACAGGUUAAUAUUCCUGUACUUGGUGUUACUGCGAAGGGGGGACGGAGAAGGCUAUGUUGGCCGGGCGACGGUUGUCCCGGUUUAAGCGUGUAGGCUGGUUUUCCAGGCAAAUCCGGAAAACUAAGGCUGAGGCGUGAUGACGAGGCACUACGGUGCUGAAGCAACAAAUGCCCUGCUUCCAGGAAAAGCCUCUAAGCAUCAGGUAACAUCAAAUCGUACCCCAAACCGACACAGGUGGUCAGGUAGAGAAUACCAAGGCGCUUGAGAGAACUCGGGUGAAGGAACUAGGCAAAAUGGUGCCGUAACUUCGGGAGAAGGCACGCUGAUAUGUAGGUGAAGUCCCUCGCGGAUGGAGCUGAAAUCAGUCGAAGAUACCAGCUGGCUGCAACUGUUUAUUAAAAACACAGCACUGUGCAAACACGAAAGUGGACGUAUACGGUGUGACGCCUGCCCGGUGCCGGAAGGUUAAUUGAUGGGGUCAGCGCAAGCGAAGCUCUUGAUCGAAGCCCCGGUAAACGGCGGCCGUAACUAUAACGGUCCUAAGGUAGCGAAAUUCCUUGUCGGGUAAGUUCCGACCUGCACGAAUGGCGUAAUGAUGGCCAGGCUGUCUCCACCCGAGACUCAGUGAAAUUGAACUCGCUGUGAAGAUGCAGUGUACCCGCGGCAAGACGGAAAGACCCCGUGAACCUUUACUAUAGCUUGACACUGAACAUUGAGCCUUGAUGUGUAGGAUAGGUGGGAGGCUUGGAAGUGUGGACGCCAGUCUGCAUGGAGCCGACCUUGAAAUACCACCCUUUAAUGUUUGAUGUUCUAACGUUGACCCGUAAUCCGGGUUGCGGACAGUGUCUGGUGGGUAGUUUGACUGGGGCGGUCUCCUCCUAAAGAGUAACGGAGGAGCACGAAGGUUGGCUAAUCCUGGUCGGACAUCAGGAGGUUAGUGCAAUGGCAUAAGCCAGCUUGACUGCGAGCGUGACGGCGCGAGCAGGUGCGAAAGCAGGUCAUAGUGAUCCGGUGGUUCUGAAUGGAAGGGCCAUCGCUCAACGGAUAAAAGGUACUCCGGGGAUAACAGGCUGAUACCGCCCAAGAGUUCAUAUCGACGGCGGUGUUUGGCACCUCGAUGUCGGCUCAUCACAUCCUGGGGCUGAAGUAGGUCCCAAGGGUAUGGCUGUUCGCCAUUUAAAGUGGUACGCGAGCUGGGUUUAGAACGUCGUGAGACAGUUCGGUCCCUAUCUGCCGUGGGCGCUGGAGAACUGAGGGGGGCUGCUCCUAGUACGAGAGGACCGGAGUGGACGCAUCACUGGUGUUCGGGUUGUCAUGCCAAUGGCACUGCCCGGUAGCUAAAUGCGGAAGAGAUAAGUGCUGAAAGCAUCUAAGCACGAAACUUGCCCCGAGAUGAGUUCUCCCUGACUCCUUGAGAGUCCUGAAGGAACGUUGAAGACGACGACGUUGAUAGGCCGGGUGUGUAAGCGCAGCGAUGCGUUGAGCUAACCGGUACUAAUGAACCGUGAGGCUUAACCUU